GACAAGUAGCUGGACUCGACUCGCCUUAUUUUGACUGAAAGUACCGCAAAACAACACUUUUUCUGCUCAUGAGUUCCAUUUUCACUUUCUCGCAGCCUACUGCAUUGAACGGUCCACCUACGUAAACACCUUCCCGUAAUAAAUGGCAGUGUCAUUACGUUGACCAGCGUAGCGCGCGUAGUGCAAGCAUAGGGUUUGGUGGAAA